GACCUAGUUCAGAGAACACAGGAUAUUGAUAUACUUCCACUGUUUUCUUCUCUCUAAUCACAGGCAUACAGAGCAGUCUAUGAACACGCUCCCCAGAAGGCCCUAGGGGUAGAACUGCCCCAGGACUGCACUGAGGCAAGACCUCUGAAUACCCUGAAGGCAUCUGCAGCUGAAAUUUUCAGGGAUCAUCCCUCUGCUGAGGAACAAUCUAGCUGAUGACUGUGGGGCUCUCUCGCUGGCUCUGGUUGGAGAGGCGCCCUGAUGCUGGAUUCCUACAGGGAGUGAGGGCUGGGGGUGAGGAGAAGAGACUGAUCUCCCAGGAAGAACAAUGUCUGUGUUCUAUGGUACCCAGAAACAACUGCAUCAAUUAGAUGCUGUGGCUUUGUGUGAAUCAGAUUUGGGGGCUCAAGUGUGGGCCCAUGUGGUGUGAUUCUAAAGCUCUAUGUGUGUGUGUUUCCUCAGGACAUGUUUCCCUCUUAGCACAAGUCAAGUGUGAACUUUCUAAACACUUCUUGUCACACUGCAUACUCGUAUACAUUAGCUGAUUCUUUCCUCAACUCAGUCAUCCCUCAAGUUGGGUUAAUAUUUAUUUUCCUCAAAUGGAGAUGGCAAUGAGACAAAUGGCCCAAGUUCUUGACCCCCUAAGUGGAAAAGCCAUACUGAGAACCUAGGGGUGGUCCCAAUGGCAUCCUCAGUCAUUUACCAAGGGGGUCCCUGCAUCUAUGUUUACACCUGGAGGUACUAGUAGCUCCAGAGGUCCAGAUCCUGCCCCUCAUUAUAAUACGGGCUCAGUGGUCACAGAACCCAGGACAACCAUAAGUGGCUUAACAGCCAGCUUUGGCACAGUCAUUAGUGUGAAAGUCACCUCAGGACUCACAUCCUCCUGGCCAACUCACAGAUUCUGAGGGUUGUGCGGCCUUGGGUAGACAAUGUAGGUCAUAUCUGUUGGUGUUAUAGUCAUUGCUUAAACAAGGACAAAAGCAGAUUAUAAUCAGAGAGAUAUUUCAUUGUAUUGGGUGAAGUUACCAUAAGCCUUAAAUUGAUUAAACCCUAUAGCACACUGUCAAAGAAAGGUGUCAGUAGAUCUCACAGUGGAACUUGAUAGUUCACCUAGUGACCAUGACUUUUGUUGUAAAUCUCCUGCACAGCUGGGUCAGAGACAGUCAGCAUUCACCUCAUGGUUUCUCUCCAUAAUGAACUGUCCCAAAAAAGUAAGGCUUCUGUGAGUGUGGACAACCACUGACUCAGUGGACAUGCAAAUAUUGUUUGGAAAAUGAAGAUGGAAUAAAAAGAUCAUUUGAUUGAUAAUAGCUUUUUGGAAAGGUAAGAUUGAAUGCAGUCCUCUAGCAGAGUUUGCUUUUAAUGAAGAACAAAGUCUCAUAGAAAACUUGGUAAGUAUAAUAGUGUAACUGUGGAUCCUGGGGAGGCAGUGAUCUAGGAAAAAAUCCAGAAGACAGGGGAGAUUUGCAGAAGCUCUAACCAGACAGGAGAGUCACAGGCCUCUGUCAUUGAAAACUAGCAUGCAUUUUAGUGUUUCUUUUUUCCUCAUCGGUUAGGUUAUCACUAGAUAAAAGACAUAAACUCUAUUUCAUUUCUUCCCUGUUCCUCUCCUUUGCUCUCCUUCCUUCAGCAAAAAGGAUGAUUCAACAGCAACUCAGCCCAUAGUUACUAACCUUCCUCAUGCAUACACUGCACUCCAUGUCCCCAUCAAACAAAAACAAACAAAAAACUCUGAGAGAUUGGUGCGCAGCCUCACCUGAGUCCUGAUGGCUAUUCUUUGUCCUUCUAGCUUCCCAGGAGGACCUGGUGGUGGAAGUGCACCAGGCCUGGGCUGAGGAAGAACCUCUGAGGACCCAGAAGGCAUGCGGAGCAUUCCAUGAACACGCUCCCCAGGACAACCUGGUGGUGAAAUGGCAAGCAGCCUGGGCUGAUGAAUAAUGUCUAAGUAUCCUGAAGGUCCAAAAUCAGAGAACAGAAAACUUACUCCAGAGAACACAAGAUCCUGAUAUCCUCACACUGUUUGCUUCUCUCUAAUCACAUGCAUAUGGAGCAGUCUAUGAACACGGUUUCACUGAUGACCUGUCAGUCAACUUACUUUGCCACAAGACAGAAGAGACUCAGUGUUUCUCCAAGG